CUCCCAAAGUGCUGGGAUUACAGGCUUGAGCCACCGCGCCCGGCGAGGAAGUGGUAGUUAAUGGUGCAGACCAAUGCUGGGUGUCAGAAGCAGACAGGAUCUCUCACGAACCGCAGACCACACUCCAUCGUCUGUCUGAACCUGGUCUUAUGCUGCAAACCCAGGCUGUGCUGUCAUGGCCAGCAGGUCUUUCCACCUCUAGCCUAGCACUCUGUUUCUAACCGGGCUUUUCCAUUUGCCUUCUAGGAGUAAAAUUGUUGGCUCAUUUUUGAACUGGAGAGGCUGGGGAGUUUUGGAGGACCUGGGGUGGAUUGUGACACCAGUGGAGAGUCCCUAAGUGGGAGGUAAUAAAUGUCAUGAACAGGUAUUUUUACUGGGUAGGUAGUUAUUUCCAUUUUAAAAUGAGUAGAAGGUGACUCAGGGACAUUAAGGCACCAACUGGAGUUCCCAGCUUAUACGAGGCUCAGGUGGGACAGGCCUGGAGUAGGAGUCUGCCUACUGCUAGGGCUGGCAUGCCAAAGAGGACAUUUAGGAGACCUAAGACACUGAGGUGGCUCAGAGGUUCAUAUAUGCCUGGCUGGGAAAACAUAAAAACACCUGUUGUGGAUGAAAGAUCCUACAGUGCCUGGAGCACACUCCAGGAGAAAAUGGAACACUUCCUGUGAUGCUCACAAGCCCACUUCUGAAAUCACAAGGGCAGAACUGCGGUCACAAAGAUGCCUCUCCAUCCAGCAUCCUCCCAUCGGAGCAGGACAGCCUCCAGGGCGGAGCCCCUCCAGGAGGAAACAGGAGCAAAACUGCAAAUCCCACACCAGUCCCUUUGCGACGUGCUGUUUGACUGGUACUGUCUGAGUUUCCUCUGUCUGACACCUGUUUCUUGGCUCUGCCACGUGAAUGUGAACAAUUCCUCCCACUUUGACCUCCAGGCAGCUGCUGGUUUCGUGGGUGCCCCUGACUGACAUGGCAACGGGUCUCUGCUUUCCACUCUAAAGUCAGUGUUCUCUCAAGGGUGCACAUCCUUCAUUUCUGCAUGUUAAUGAGACUGACAUAUGCAGUCCAUCUUGUCCCAGCCCUACUGGAAUGCCACGGCAUCUGCAAGCAAACAACAAAAUAAUCUUGCUUAAGAAAAACAAGUAUGAAGCUCUCCAUCUAAAAAUCACAUGUAGACCUGGCGGGGUAGAGUAUACCGGAACUGAAACUGAAAACAUAAAUUGUUCUCUUGGAGGUAGCAUGGAGCUAUUACUGCCUGCCUGCAUCCAGUGCUGUCAGAUACAAAUUUAUGGCAGCACCGCACAGCCACUGCGUCACCCACAUGCUUGAGCCAGCACGCGGGCCACCACUGUGGCUCUGCGACUGCCUCCCCUGGCCCCAGCCAGUGGGUUUGUAGGAUCUCAGAGUGGGAACCAUGUUUAUUCAUUAGGGGGUGUCAGUGGGUUCUGUCCCCAGUGGAGGUGGAGUAGGAAGCCAAUGUGGAGAAUAGGGAGAUUGGGAAUAAAGAUGGAUCCAAUUAUUUUUAAGAAAAA